AAUAUUGGACAAUGGGCGCAAGCCUGAUCCAGCCAUGCCGCGUGAGUGAUGAAGGCCUCAGGGUUGUAAAGCUCUUUUACCGGUGAUGAUAAUGACGGUAACCGGAGAAGAAGCCCCGGCUAACUUCGUGCCAGCAGCCGCGGUAAUACGAAGGGGGAUAGCGUUGUUAGGAAUUACUGGGCGUAGAGCGCACGUAGGCGGAUUAUUAAGUCGAGGGUGAAAUCCCGCAGCUCAACUGCGGAACUGCCUUUGAUACUGGUAAUCUAGAGACCGAGAGAGGUAAGUGGAACUCCUAGUGUAGAGGUGGAAUUCGUAGAUAUUAGGAAGAACACCAGUGGCGAAGGCGGCUUACUGGCUCGGAACUGACGCUGAGGUGCGAAAGCGUGGGGAGCAAAC
rnacentral:rRNA from 1 species